AACACUGUUAACCUGCGGUACCUGCGGAGGGAUCAUUACAUGGCGGAGGAGGUGGGCACCUGGUAACCCCCGGGUGUGUUGCCUUCACGCUUUCUACCCUUGUCUAUUUGCACCUUUUGUUGUUCCCUCGGUGGGUCUUGUACCUGCCGGCGGCAACUUUCAAAACCUCUUUGCAGUUAGCAUCUAAUUCUUCUGAUAAAAAUAACAAAUCGUUACAACUUUUAGCAACGGAUCUCAGAU
rnacentral:misc_RNA from 1 species